ACAAGUGCUGAGGGGGGUCCACAGAUGGGGGCCCUAGGGAGGGGUGUGUAGGUGGGUGGGGCUGUGGGGAGGGGCGCUGCUGAUGGGGAGUCAGUAGAGGUGCACAGCUGGGUGGGGCUGUUGGAAGGGGCACACGAGUGGGUGGGGAAUGGGGAGGGGGACGCAGGUGGGGGGACCGUGGGGAGGGGUGCGCAGGUGGGGGGGGCCGUGGGGAGGGGUGUGCAGGUGGGUGGGGCCGUGGGGAGGGUUGCGCUGGUGGACGGGACCAUGGGAAGGAGCACGCUGGUCGGGGGCCCGUGGGGAGGGGUGCGCUGCUGAGGGGAGCGGUGGGGAGUGGGUGUGGGCAGAGACAGGUGUGUUGCAGACCCUCCAACAUUUCUGCUUCCAGGUAAAACUUGCAUGUGUGGGAAAUGCGUGGCAUCUAAUGUCAGUCCUGCCUUCAGUUGCUGUCACUUGAAAGAAAUUGUGUGUGUUUGUUUAACAAACAUAAAUUGAGUGCCUACUGUGUACCCACACUUCUAGAUCCUGCAGUUGCUGCCACCAUAGCUGUGAUUAGGGCAAGUCUCAGCUCCCCUGGAGUGAGUGCUCCUGUGGACCAUCAAGUGACAUGGGGACAGAUGCCACAGAGGAGUGCAGAUGGAUGUGGCCUGGGGACUAUUUGCCAACACCAGCCCCAGAAAAUAAAACUUAUGUUUGUGUAAAUAUCUAUACACAGGUAUUUCGACCCAGGCGUAAUCACCAAGUGCUGGAAGUGACACAAGCGUCCUUCAGUGGUGAGCGGAUGGCAGGGCCCCCAGGAGACCACAGGAAAGUCACGUAGAGAAGGCAUUAGGUGGGGCGUCAGAUGUGGGGGAGAACGAGCUGGAGACGGACACGGGCAUGGAGGUGUGGAUGGCCCUGGGGAGGCCCCUGGCAGCGGGUGGACGGCAGGAGAAGCGUGGAUGGCAGGAGCAGCACGGGAUGAGAGAGGUUGCAGCCACCACAAAAACUUUUCAAAAAUCAGACUGUGGAGGUCCUGUGCAGCCCGUCCCUGGCCACAAACCCAAGUCGGGGUGGAGAAAGAAUGCGUCCAUUUGAGCAGGUGCAGAGACCCUGUCAAAGAAGACAUGCAACCGUGCACCCUGCAGCCCCACGCCGGCAGCUCCGUGUUCCAGCCUGGCUCAGCCCCGCGCCGGCAGCUCCGUGUUCCAGCCUGGCUCAGCCCCGCGCCGGCAGCUCCGUGUUCCGGCCUGGCUCAGCCCCGCACCGGCAGUUCCGUGUUCCAGCCUGGAGUCAGGCUCACCCACACAUCUAGUCGGCCACUCCCCAAACCAACAAACUCAUUGCCUCACGGUCCUGGGCAUGCUGACAACCUGGGCUUUCUGCUUCAGGGCCUUUCUCCAACUGCUCCACCCCUUCAUAGACCCUCCCUGUUCCCUGUCUUGCCUCCUCUUGAACUUUGGGCCAACACUGAGCUGUGCUGCAGCCACUUGAGCACACGGGUUUCCACUCCUAGACUUUUUUAG
rnacentral:lncRNA from 1 species